CCAUCUCUUACCCAUGUCUUUUGAGUACCUUCGUUUCCUCGGUGGGUUCGCCCGCCGAUUGGACAACACUUAAACCCUUUGUAAUUGAAAUCAGCGUCUGAAAAAACUUAAUAGUUACAACUUUCAACAACGGAUCUCUUGGUUCUGGCAUCGAUGAAGAACGCAGCGAAAUGCGAUAAGUAGUGUGAAUUGCAGAAUUCAGUGAAUCAUCGAAUCUUUGAACGCACAUUGCGCCCCUUGGUAUUCCAUGGGGCAUGCCUGUUCGAGCGUCAUUUGUACCUUCAAGCUCUGCUUGGUGUUGGGUGUUUGUCUCGCCUCUGCGCGCAGACUCGCCUCAAAACGAUUGGCAGCCGGCGUAUUGAUUUCGGAGCGCAGUACAUCUCGCGCUUUGCAACCAUAACGACGACGUCCAAAAAGUACAUUUUUACACUCUUGACCUCGGAUCAGGUAGGGAUACCCGCUGAACUUAAGCAUAUCAAUAAGCGGAGGAAAAGAAACCAACAGGGAUUGCCCUAGUAACGGCGAGUGAAGCGGCAACAGCUCAAAUUUGAAAUCUGGCGUCUUUGGCGUCCGAGUUGUAAUUUGCAGAGGGCGCUUUGGCAUUGGCAGCGGUCCAAGUUCCUUGGAACAGGACGUCACAGAGGGUGAGAAUCCCGUACGUGGUCGCUAGCCUUUACCGUGUAAAGCCCCUUCGACGAGUCGAGUUGUUUGGGAAUGCAGCUCUAAAUGGGAGGUAAAUUUCUUCUAAAGCUAAAUACUGGCCAGAGACCGAUAGCGCACAAGUAGAGUGAUCGAAAGAUGAAA
rnacentral:misc_RNA from 1 species